GAUGAACGCUGGCGGCGUGCCUAAUACAUGCAAGUCGAGCGAACAGACGAUGAGCUUGCUCCUCGGACGUUAGCGGCGGACGGGUGAGUAACACGUGGAUAACCUACCUAUAAGACUGGGAUAACUUCGGGAAACCGGCGCUAAUACCGGAUAAUAUCUUGAACCGCAGGGUGCAAUAGUGAAAGACGGUGUUGCGGUCACUAAUAGAUGGAUCCGCGCCGGAUUAGCUAGUUGGUAAGUUAACGGCUUACCAAGGCAACGAGGCGUAGCCGACCUGAGAGGGUGAUCGGCCACACUGGAACUGAGACACGGUCCAGACUCCUACGGGAGGCAGCAGUAGGGAAUCUUCCGCAAUGGGCGAAAGUCUGACGGAGCAACGCCGCGUGAGUGAUGACGGUCUUCGGAUCGUAAAACUCUGUUAUUAGGGAAGAACAAAUGUGUAAGUAACUAUGCACGUCUUGACGGUACCUAAUCAGAAAGCCCCGGCUAACUACGUG
rnacentral:rRNA from 1 species